CUUCAACGACCCGAGCCACAGCGGCAGUUCGGCGUCCCGGCCCUGUCCGUACGUCGCCAGGAGCGCCCGCGCCUC
rnacentral:antisense_RNA from 1 species